CUCUUCUCUCUCAUUCUCCCUGUGAUUUUCCCCUCUCUUCUACUACCACAGCCAUCGUUACCAUCAACAUCAAAACCAUCGUCGAGGAAGAAAGUUAUCUUGUUUAUUAUAUGUUUGAGGAGGCAAUCACUUGGUCUUCUUCUGAUGAAAGAUUACACAAAGAUGAUUACCCCUAAACAAUAAAAGAUGUUGAGUUGUUUUACAAUGAUGGAAUCGGCUGGGAUGGCAUAUGUUGAAUCUUUAAAACAGUUGGGAAGAUACUAUCAUGCGUUAUGCCUAUGAGUUGCUGACGAAUGCAUCGUGGGAGAGCGACGAUGAUGCAUUUGGUGAUGUGGGGUUUGUAGUUUAGCAGCAGAAUAUUAUGAAUUUGGACAAGAUUCUACAUAGUUGAUUGACAAUGCCCCUGAAGUCUACCCCCACCUAAUCCCAGGUGGAUCCUCUCCUUUCGUUGUGCUUAGAUAUGGGGUUUCUUCGGUGAUACAUGUUGGUCAUGACGAUGGAGCUCUACUUGCAUUAAAAGCUGCAGAACGAGUCCGGACGUCCAAUAUGUAUAUUUGAUAGUUUUUUCUUAUGAUAACAUUUGAAGAGAAUAAAAUGUCCCCCAUGUUCCUGUAUCACAAAUGUUCUGGUAUGGCCGAGUUUGGCAUUACGUGUCCUUGUCAUGUCUGACACCCAUACUCAUGUUUGUGCAACCUAGUCGACAACUUGUGCUCCUUUAUUUGAUCUCUUUAACACUUUACAUGCAUCUAUGUUGUUCCAGCAUUCUACAUUUAGAGCAACCUAACAAUUUAUCUUUUUGGAAGAGUAAUCUGACUUAAACUUCACUGAUUUGGCUGUUUUUUGCAGUAGUAUCGUCGAAUACUUGGGAUUAUCUGGGGAUUGGGUACUUGAGCUAUUUUCGCUAGUAUAACUCCUGUGCUAUCAACUUUAAUACAAGGGAUGGGUUCAAUCUGCUGCAGACACGGCCAUUACAGUGAAGACCGAAGAAAAUGCACAUGCUGCAGAGAUUGAGAGGCGUUAAUCUAUUUAAUAACUUUCAGUAAUAUUUACCACCAUACACAUACAGGAAACCUAUACUCGUGGAAAUGAACUGCAACUCCCCAAUUGUGCCAACUAUUCAAUGGACAAUUUGCAAAGAUUAUCUGAUGUGAAUUAUGUCCCAACGAAGGAAGAUGUUCUUUAUGCAAGAGGUCUCACGAGUGGUGUUGUAGAAAUACAGUUCAGCCAUGUCGGAGAGAACAAAAAAAGUGGUGAAGUUUAUACUCUUUGAUGUUGGUGGCAAAAGAAAUGAGAAAGUGCAUCCAUCUGUUUGAAGACUCUCUUUGAGGAUGAUAACAAGAACCUGAUGAUGGAGACGAAGGAGUUAUGCGACUGGGAUCCGAAACAGCCAUGCUUUGAGAAAACAUCCAUCAUGUUGUUCCUCAAUAAGUUUGACAUAUUCUAAAAGAAAGUCCUAAAUGUACCGUUAAAUGCGUGUGACUGGUUCAAAGAUUAUCAGCCUGUGUCAAUGGGGAAACAAGAGAUUGAGCAUGCAUAUGAGUAAGUUACAGAUCAAUGGUGUGGUGCUGCUCGGUGUUAGUCCAUCAAGAGAACUUGUUCCUAAUCAACUGAUACUCAUAACUGCUUAUGUACCAAAUGAAUGGCUUUGAAUGAGGAAGUCCCUUUUGCAGUAAGAUUCUAAACUAUUUUUACUUUUUGAGUUCGUAUUUCAGUUACAGAUCAAUGGUGUGGUGCUGCUCGGUGUUAGUCCAUCAAGAGAACUUGUUCCUUCCUUUGUUAGGAUUGUGGUACGUAUUUCACUUGGGUAAAAACGCUUGGUGCGUCCUUCGUUCCGAACUGAGAUUACUCAAGUUAUAACCUGCGAGCAUGGAACAGUUCUUUCAGCCCAAAAUGCAGAACCGAGUUCACUCUGUUUUGUGAAGAUUCCUUGAUGCAUAGAGCUGCAGCUGCAGAAAUGUCAUUCCUUUUGGAGCCUAGCAAGAAGUCUGAAGUCAUCAAACUAAUUGAAGCUUCUAGUUCGAAAAACAAGUUUCAGUGACCUGAUAAGGAAACUUCAACAGCUUGUACCAAAUUAGGAUAAGGUAUAAACUUCAAGAGUUUCGAUCAACUGACUAUCCUGAACUUUUAGAAGGGUAUUUAUAUCCAUCAUUCUAAAUAUUAUGUUACUAGUUCUUUUUAUAUACUUCUGGUUCCCAGGCUCCCUCAUCUGUUUACUUGCCUAUUGAUGUUGUUAUUGUACUUAUUAGGACUUGUGCAUGUUGGUGUCCAUUCGACGUUUAAAUAUUUUUGUAUCAGUCUUGAACUGAAUUUAUGAACAGAACGAAUGUUCAAUGGAAUCCAUUAAUCUCAGUGAAUUGUGAUAUGAAUACUGUAAAUAAUUCACAAAGA